rnacentral:siRNA from 1 species
UUCGAAUCAGCAUUUCGUCA